GUUAUUAACAACAAAAAACAGUUUCUUGCGCAAUUUUACGCCUGUAUCUUUCACUAGGAUUCCAAGGUCUAAACUUUAAUCUAAAAUAAUUCAUGGUCGUUUUUUCCCUAAAUUGUUCUAAUAUUUAAAACAUAGUCCCGUUUGUAUAUUGCUGUCUUGUUCGUACAUUGCCGUUUUAAAUUAUGUAACUAUACUAGAAAUUACUAUCGCAAGGAAAGUGCUGCCUCCCCCCCUCCUUCCAUCACAUAAACACGAAAAGCACCCCUAAGACACCUGUUCAGGUGGUAGAAAAAGUGCAAUCUGAAUAUGAAAACACUUUGCACAAAAUCGAAACUCAGCUAAAUAUUCCAAUUGUAUUGACUUCCACAAAUUCCCUACUCUUCAAGAAAUUACUUCCUUGAAAAUUCCUUCGUUCUAAACAAAGAUGAAGGACUUUGUGAAAGUCUACAGGUCAUGCUAUGCAAGUUUUUAAUGAUUUGCAUUAUUCAAAUUGAUGCAGGUUUAUUGGCAUAUCAUAACCAGUUGCCAUGGCUAGCUUGCCACUGAAUACUGUACAAUACCGGGUGGCCCAAAAAAAAGUACUCCUGUUUGAUUCGUAAUAACAUCUAAACAAGUAUAGCUUUUAAAGAGAAAUAACUUGCAUCAAAUAGAGGAAGGACUAACUUAGACUUUGAUAUAUUAC